rnacentral:rRNA from 1 species
GAUGAACGCUGGCGGCGUGCCUAAUACAUGCAAGUCGAGCGAACAGACGAGGAGCUUGCUCCUCUGACGUUAGCGGCGGACGGGUGAGUAACACGUGGAUAACCUACCUAUAAGACUGGGAUAACUUCGGGAAACCGGAGCUAAUACCGGAUAAUAUAUUGAACCGCAUGGUUCAAUAGUGAAAGACGGUUUUGCUGUCACUUAUAGAUGGAUUCGCGCCGCAUUAGCUAGUUGGUAAGGUAACGGCUUACCAAGGCAACGAUGCGUAGCCGACCUGAGAGGGUGAUCGGCCACACUGGAACUGAGACGCGGUCCAGACUCCUACGGGAGGCAGCAGUAGGGAAUCUUCCGCAAUGGGCGAAAGCCUGACGGAGCAACGCCGCGUGAGUGAUGAAGGUCUUCGGAUCGUAAAACUCUGUUAUUAGGGAAGAACAAAUGUGUAAGUAACUAUGCACGUCUUGACGGUACCUAAUCAGAAAGCCACGGCUAACUACGUG